UACGGGGGGGGUAAGCGUUGUUCGGAAUUACUGGGCGUAAAGGGCUCGUAGGCGGCCAACUAAGUCAUACGUGAAAUCCCUCAGCUUAACUGGGGAACUGCGUGUGAUACUGGAUGGCUUGGAUUUGGGAGAGGGAUGCGGAAUUCCAGGUGUAGCGGUGAAAUGCGUAGAUAUCUGGAGGAACACCGGUGGCGAAGGCGGCAUCCUGGACCAAUAUUGACACUGAGACCCGAAAGCGUGGGGAUCAAACAGG
rnacentral:rRNA from 1 species